rnacentral:misc_RNA from 1 species
UGUUUGAUAUUUUGGCUAUGCCAAAUAACUUAAACCUUUAAUUUUUACUCGUUAUGGUGGAGAACUAGGCUUUCGUUUCGAUGAAGGGCGCAGCGAACUGCGAUAAUGAUAGUCUAUCGUACCUGGACUCUGCGUUCCCGAAUGCCAGACCUGCCACGUCAACAGACGUGAAUAUAGGUUUGAGCUCCAGUUAGAAUUAUCACCUUGUAUUUAGUACAUUCUACUCGAAUAGAAAAAUACAAAGUGAGUGUCUUCACUGGAAUCAGAUCUGUAUGGCGACCCGCUGAACUUAAGCAUAU